AGAAUCAACGCUGGCGGCGUGCCUAACACAUGCAAGUCGAACGAGAAAGUGGAGCAAUCCAUGAGUAAAGUGGCGACCGGGUGAGUAACACGUGACUAACCUACCUUCAAGUGGGGGAUAACCUCGGGAAACCGGGGCUAAUACCGCAUAACAUCUUUGGAGUGGAAAUUCUGGAGAUCAAAGGAGCAAUUCGCUGGAAGAGGGGGUCGCGGCUGAUUAGCUAGUUGGCGGGGUAAUGGCCCACCAAGGCUUUGAUCGGUAGCCGGCCUGAGAGGGCGCACGGCCACACUGGAACUGAAACACGGUCCAGACUCCUACGGGAGGCAGCAGUGGGGAAUUUUGCGCAAUGGGGGAAACCCUGACGCAGCAACGCCGCGUGGAGGAUGAAGUCCCUUGGGACGUAAACUCCUUUCGACCGGGAAGAUGAUGACGGUACCGGUGGAAGAGCCCGGCUAACUCGUGCCAGCAGCCGC
rnacentral:rRNA from 1 species